AGAAUAGUGAACUCAACGUUGGAACAACAGCAAGUCACAACACACAUACGAUUAGCACGUGCCCCUAUGUUUGUGGGGUGGGUGCCCGGCGUUGCGUGGUUAUAAAUCGUCCACAGAAGGAGGAUGAAGUAUAUCUCGACUGUCUCCACUAUUUUCCUAAUUUUAGCCAUGUCACAUGGCCUGGGAAGGAAAUGUCGACGGCUAUGGUGCUAUGAACAAUGUAAUUAUGGUCAAGAAAUUGAUGACAAUGGCUGUGAAACAUGUCGCUGUCUCCUACCUCCUAUAGGUCUCGGUUUAUCAUCUUUUCAAAAUUACACAUCCCUAGAUAUUCUAUCAACUCUGUCGAAAUCGGGUUCCAGUUUUUGGGUGCCCGAUGGUGCUGCCGGUGCUCGACAUGCUUCAGCACCAAUGUAAACUAUCCACAAAUACUGAAGAUAAUAGACUUUGUGUAAAUAAUAACAAGAAAAUUAUAGAUUU